rnacentral:tRNA from 1 species
GGAGGGAUGGCAGAGCGGCCGAAUGCGAGGCUCUUGAAAAGCCUUGGGAGGCGACUCCCCGGGGGUUCGAAUCCCUCUCCCUCCG